rnacentral:rRNA from 1 species
AACGAACGCUGGCGGCAUGCCUAACACAUGCAAGUCGAACGAGACCUUCGGGUCUAGUGGCGCACGGGUGCGUACCGCGUGGGAACUUGCCCUUAGGUUCGGAAUAACUCACCGAAAGGGGUGCUAAUAACGGAUAAUGUCUUAGGACAAAAGAUUUCUCGCCUUUGGAUGGGCCCGCGUUGGAUUAGCUAGUUGGUAGGGUAAAAGCCUACCAAGGCGACGAUCCAUAGCUGGUCUGAGAGGAUGAUCAGCCACACUGGGACUGAGACACGGCCCAGACUCCUACGGGAGGCAGCAGUGGGGAAUAUUGGACAAUGGACGAAAGCCUGAUCCAGCAAUGCCGCGUAAGUGAUGAAGGCCUUAGGGUUGUAAAGCUCUUUUACCCGGGAUGAUAAUGACAGUACCGGGAGAAUAAGCACCGGCUAACUCCGUG